rnacentral:rRNA from 1 species
AACGAACGCUGGCGGCAGGCUUAACACAUGCAAGUCGAACGCCCCGCAAGGGGAGUGGCAGACGGGUGAGUAACGCGUGGGAAUCUACCUAGUUCUACGGAACAACAGUUGGAAACGACUGCUAAUACCGUAUACGCCCUACGGGGGAAAGAUUUAUCGGAAUUAGAUGAGCCCGCGUAAGGUUAGCUAGUUGGUGAGGU